UUUUCUAUCUCUGUAAUGCAUGGUGAUGAUGAUGAUGAUUGCGAUGAUGUUGAUGAUAGACAAUUAAUAAUGAUGACAGGGCUGUUGGGUGUAUUCAAGCAUAACAAAGGAAAUGGACACCUUGUUGGAGGAAAAACCAAGACCACUUUUCUGUGAUACAAGAUGGAUGGUACCUCCAAUUUUUUGGUGUAUUUUAACAUACCUGUACCUGAGGAAUGUGGAAGUUGGAUCAUACUGGAAGAUAUAUAAGUGUUUGCCGUAGGAGCCAGUAAAGUCCCUCCUUUAGGAUUUGAUCAAGAACCUUCGUUAAGUUUCUUACAUGACCAGGAAGUCUUUCUGAAAACCAACACCUGUACCAUGGAUAUUAAAGGACUAUGCAACUUUUAAAUCAAACAUGGCGUUUGGUAUUCCUAAUUCACCUGACUUUGGACUGGAGUCUUUCACAAUUUCAGCAGAGAUGUUCUAGAGUUUAUAGGGAAUUUCUCAUUAUCUGGGAAACAUUUUAACAAAUGAGCCAUGCCAUGGUAAAACCAACAUAGUGGGUAUGCGACCAGCAUGGAUCCAGACCAGCCUGCGCAUCUGCGCAGUCUGGUCAGGAUCCAUGCUGUUUGCUAACAGUUUCUCCAAUUCCAAUAGGCUUUAAAAGCGAACAGCAUGGAGCCUGACCAGACUGCGCGGAUGCGCAGGCUGGUCUGGAUCCAUGCUGGUCGCAUACCCACUAUGUUGGUUUUCUCAUGGCACGGUUCAAAUUAUGAACAGAUACAGAAAAUUAAUGUCAAAGCAAAUUUUUGUACAUAGGAGCACUCUGGAAAGUUGAUGUUUGUUGCAUAUAAUUCAUCAUGGACAGCAAACUUAAUAUAUUCUCCAGAUUAUAAAAGUGACAUUAUAUGUGUAAUAAAAUAAGCAAAUAGUUUUGAAGUUUGUCAGCUGAUAAAACUGUGUAAGCAUAGGAAGACACAUCAAAAGAACUUGGUGUCUUUGUGUAGGGCCACUUGCUAAAAUAAUUUCUUUUUACCAAAAGGCAGAUAUGCAACUGUUCAACUGACAUUUUAAAGCAGUUUCACCAGUAUAUGCUUCUUAGGAGCAAAAUCAAAUAGACUGAUUAUUCAACAUACUGUUAAAGUUGUGAAUUAAGGGUAUCUUGAUGUACAGACACUAGGUAGUUUUUUAACCUUUAGCUUCCUAAAUUUCUAUAAUGGACUGGUUCAUCAUUCCAAUUUGGGCUGUAUCAUUUAUCAUUUGAAGGGGUGUUCACUGAAAAUUUACAGACUGCAAGGAUGUGCAGGCUGAUCUUGGUCUGCACUGGUCGCAAGGGCAGAAUCACUUGCAGCCAGCAGGCUAAAGGUUAAGAUGCCUCAGUUGGUAUUCAUAUAUCUCAAGGUGAACAUUUUUCAUAUCAACCUCUUAGAAAUGCAAUAUUUAUUUCAUUGUACCGAAAACAUACAGAAGUCAAAACAUUGAUUGGAAAAUCAACAUAUUGAGUUAAAUGAUUUAUUGAAAUUAUUAUUAAAAGGUAGACUGUUAACACUCAUUUUUAGCUUGAAUUUUCGAAGCAAAAGAGAGCUAUUGCAGUCUCACCCCAGCAUUGGCGUCGUAGUUCAAACAGGUUAUAGCUUUUGAUAAAGUAAAAUAUCUCCGUUACUAUCAAAGCUAUUGACUUGAAACUUAAAAUAUUGAUUUGCUAUCAAAGUCUACACCAGGAGAAUCAAUCCUCAUAACUCUAAUUUGAAUUUUACAGAGUUAUGCCCCUUUUUAACUUAAAAUUUUUCGGUUAAAGUUUAUGAUAAAGUCAAAUAUCUGUUACUAACAAAGCUUUGACUUAUUAUUUGGUUAAAGUUUUUGAUAAAGUCAAAUAUCUCUGUUACUAUCAAAGCUUUUGAUUUGAAACUUAAAACAGUUAUUUACAAUCAAAGUCUACACCAGGAGAAACAGUCCCAUAUUUCUGUUCGAUUUUCACAGAGUUAUGCCCCUUUUUAACUUAGAAUUACUUGAUAAAGUCAAAUAUCUCUGUUACUAUCAAAACCUUUGACUUGAAACUUAAAAUUGUUACAUACUAUCAAAGUCUACAACAGGAGAAACAAUCCCCAUAACUCUGAUUUGAAUUUUUACAGAGUAAUGCCCCUUUUUUAACUUUGAAUUUUUUGGUUAAAGUUCUAUAAAGUUUUUACUGGCAUAGCACUAAUUCAGAGUCAAGCACUGAGAAAUGUCAAGUUUGCUGUCUUAUGGGCAGCAUUUGUAUUAAAUACAGUAGGAAUCUUUACUGGACAGCACUCCAAAAAUGUGCUGAUUUUACCAUAAGGUUUUAAUGCUGCCCGAAGGGGUGGGGGCGUAGUCGUCACCUUGUCCGUCUGUCCAAAUUUGUGUCAUUCAUAUCUCUAAAAGUAUUUGACCCAGUCAUCAGAACUCACAGGAUUGUUAUUAAGCAUGAGAUGGGACCAGGGGUUUUAAUUUGGAUCUCAUACAGUCAGACUUGAAUUAUGGCCCUUGACUGAAUGAAAACUACACAUUAAGUGUUUGUGUUGCAUAUAUCUUAAAAAUUCACCUAAAAUCAUGAAAUCAUGUAGGAAUAUUAUCUAUCAUGUAAAUUUGUGCACAUGAGAUUUUGUGUGUGUGUGUUUUUUUUUCACAGUGCAAGGCCAGAGUUAUGGCCCUUGACUUAGUAAAAAAAAAAAUAGAAAUUAUGCAGCAUGUUUGUCAAAAUUUAUUUGACCUAGAGUCAUUAAGCAUUAGAGGACUGUUAAUCCCCCGCCGUGGCGGAGGGAUUAUAGGAAUGGUCUGCGUCCGUCCUUCCGUCCUUCCGUCCGUAACAAAUUCGUGUCCGGUCCAUAUCUCCUAAACCCCUUGAAGGAUUUUCAUGAAACUUGGGUCAAAUGAUCACCUCAUCAAGACGAUGUGCAGAACCCAUGAGUCAGCCUUGUCGGUUCAAGGUCAAGGUCAUAACUCAAGGUCAAAGGUUUGAGCCUGCCAUUUUGUGUCCGCUCUAUAUCUCCUAAACCCCUUGAAGGAAUUUUAUAAAACUUGGGUCAAAUGAUCACCUCAUCAAGACGAUGUGCAGAACCCAUGAGUCAGCCAUGCCGGCUCAAGGUCAAGGUCACAACUCAAGGUCAAAGGUUUGAGCCUUCCAUUUUGUGUCCGCUCUAUAUCUCUUAAACCCCUUGAAGGAAUUUUAUAAAACUUGGGUCAAAUGAUCACCUCAUCAAGACGAUGUGCAGAAUCCAUGAGUCAGUCAUGCCGGCUCAAGGUCAAGGUCACAACUUAGGGUCAAAGGUUUGAACCUUCCAUUUUGUGUCCGCUCUAUAUCUCCUAAACCCCUUGAAGGAUUUUCAUCAAACUUGGGUCAAACGAUCACCUCAUCAAGGCGAUGUGCAGAACUUAUGAGUCAGCCAUGUCAGCUCAAGGUCAAGGUCACAACUGAAGGUCAAAGGUUUGAGCCUUCCAUUUCGUGUCCACUCUAUAUCUCCUAAACCCCUUGAAGGAAUUUUAUAAAACCUGGGUCAAAUGAUUACCUCAUCAAGACGAUGUGCAGAAAUUAUGAGUCAACCAUGCCAGCUCAAGGUCAAGGUCACAACUUAGGGUCGAAGGUUUGAGCCUUCCAUUUGGUGUCCACUCUGUAUCUCCUUAACCCCUUGAAGGAUUUUCAUCAAACUUUGGUCAAAUGAUCACCUCAUCAAGAACUCAUGAGUCAGCCAUGUCAACUCAAGGUCAAGGUCACAACUGAAGGUCAAAGGUUUCAGCUCUGUAUCUCCUAAACCCCUUGAAGGAUUUUCAUGAAACUUUGGUCAAAUGAUCACCUCAUCAAGACGUUGUGCAGAAUUCAUGAGUCAGCCAUGUCAGUUCAAGGUCAAGGUCACAGCUAAAAUCAAAGGUUUUACCCUUUCACUAUCCAUAGCAGUGGCGGGGGAUUUAGCUUUCUUUCAGACUGCCUUGUUUAAUAGGCUAUGAAAUUUUGCUCCGGGUGUUCUCUUUGUGAUUUUACUCAGCUAGGCCCGAGUUAUGGUCCUUCACCAAGUGAAAAAUACACAUAAAGUUCCUAAAGGUUUUUGUUGCAAACAUCUUAAUAAAUAUUUAACCCUUAGUCAUAAAACCAUGUACAGUGACAGGAGUUGGGGUGGGGGGGGGGGGACCUGUAUCGUAUAGUCACCCUAUUAUAAGACACACAUCUCGUUUUAUUUUGAUGUGCCAGAGCUUACACUACAUUUAUAACUUUCAACAUUUUCAAGAAAUAGUCAAAGAGUCAUAAAAAAACAUUAGAUACAAUCUGUAUUUUGGGAACAACUUUGGAUCAUGCACAUACAUUUAGAUAUAUUGCAAAGAUAGUCAUACAUAUUUAGCGUUGUGUUUUCUCAACCCUUGUUCCUUUAAACAAUAAUUUAUACAGUUAAUGAUGCCCCAUUUGAUGCUUAAACAUUUAGUAUUUUAGCUGUCACACAGUAUGACCACAUAUCCAAAGUGCAUUAUCAAAUUAGUAUGGGUUUCUUUUAGUCAUCUUUGUUUUGCUAGAAAGCUUUCUUGUUUCAGUUUGCACUUCCUGCUUGGAUUUACUGUUUCAAGUUUUAUUUCCUAUUCCGGAUGGUAUUUUCUGUUUCAAGUUGUUUUUACAAUACUCAUUUCUCUGUAAAACUGUUUAACUUUAAUGAAUAACUGAAAUUAUUACUUUUGUGGCGGUUUAGUUUUCUCUUUAACCCUAAACAUGCUUGACAUGAUUGGUUCUGCCUUUUGUGACCAGUGUAGAUCAUUAUCAGCCUGGACAUCCGUGCAGUCUGAUCAUGAUCUGCACUGUUUGCUAUUCAUUCUGUAUCUUGGGUAAGCAUCCAUUUUAACAGUUAAUAAUAAUAAUAUUAUUAUUAUUGUACUGUCAAAAUUGGAAGAUGGACAAGUUCAUUAUAGAAAUUUAGCAGGGUAAGGGUUAAAGCAGAUAGUGUAUUGACAGUAAAUUUACAUUUUACUCUGAAAUCAAGACAACUUUUAAAACACUUAUGAUAUAUCGAAGACAGCUCCAAACAGAAAAAUUUAACUUGUGUAUUUGAGUUUUGGAGGCAUUUUAGUAACUAACAGUGGGGAACACUGGUACUGAUGAUAAACCCGGACAGAUGAAAAAGUCGACCACCUUGGAUAUAUUUGACUGCAAUUGGUUAUUUAUAAAAAUGAACACACCAUCAAAUAGCAAGCACAAGCACCUACAACACCAA